UCGUUGGGUAGGGGAGCGUUCUGUAAGCCUGCGAAGGUGGCCUGUGAGGGUUGCUGGAGGUAUCAGAAGUGCGAAUGCUGACAUAAGUAACGAUAAAGCGGGUGAAAAGCCCGCUCGCCGGAAGACCAAGGGUUCCUGUCCAACGUUAAUCGGGGCAGGGUGAGUCGACCCCUAAGGCGAGGCCGAAAGGCGUAGUCGAUGGGAAACGGGUUAAUAUUCCCGUACUUGGUGUUACUGCGAAGGGGGGACGGAGAAGGCUAUGUUGGCCGGGCGACGGUUGUCCCGGUUUAAGCGUGUAGGUGUGUGUUCCAGGUAAAUCCGGUUCACUUUAACACUGAGGCGUGAUGACGAGGCACUACGGUGCUGAAGCAACAAAUGCCCUGCUUCCAGGAAAAGCCUCUAAGCAUCAGGUAACACGAAAUCGUACCCCAAACCGACACAGGUGGUCAGGUAGAGAAUACCAAGGCGCUUGAGAGAACUCGGGUGAAGGAACUAGGCAAAAUGGUGCCGUAACUUCGGGAGAAGGCACGCUGACACGUAGGUGAAGUGAUUUACUCAUGGAGCUGAAGUCAGUCGAAGAUACCAGCUGGCUGCAACUGUUUAUUAAAAACACAGCACUGUGCAAACACGAAAGUGGACGUAUACGGUGUGACGCCUGCCCGGUGCCGGAAGGUUAAUUGAUGGGGUCAGCGCAAGCGAAGCUCCUGAUCGAAGCCCCGGUAAACGGCGGCCGUAACUAUAACGGUCCUAAGGUAGCGAAAUUCCUUGUCGGGUAAGUUCCGACCUGCACGAAUGGCGUAAUGAUGGCCAGGCUGUCUCCACCCGAGACUCAGUGAAAUUGAACUCGCUGUGAAGAUGCAGUGUACCCGCGGCAAGACGGAAAGACCCCGUGAACCUUUACUAUAGCUUGACACUGAACAUUGAGCCUUGAUGUGUAGGAUAGGUGGGAGGCUUUGAAGUGUGGACGCCAGUCUGCAUGGAGCCGACCUUGAAAUACCACCCUUUAAUGUUUGAUGUUCUAACGUGGACCCGUUACCCGGGUUGCGGACAGUGUCUGGUGGGUAGUUUGACUGGGGCGGUCUCCUCCUAAAGAGUAACGGAGGAGCACGAAGGUUGGCUAAUCCUGGUCGGACAUCAGGAGGUUAGUGCAAUGGCAUAAGCCAGCUUGACUGCGAGCGUGACGGCGCGAGCAGGUGCGAAAGCAGGUCAUAGUGAUCCGGUGGUUCUGAAUGGAAGGGCCAUCGCUCAACGGAUAAAAGGUACUCCGGGGAUAACAGGCUGAUACCGCCCAAGAGUUCAUAUCGACGGCGGUGUUUGGCACCUCGAUGUCGGCUCAUCACAUCCUGGGGCUGAAGUAGGUCCCAAGGGUAUGGCUGUUCGCCAUUUAAAGUGGUACGCGAGCUGGGUUUAGAACGUCGUGAGACAGUUCGGUCCCUAUCUGCCGUGGGCGCUGGAGAACUGAGGGGGGCUGCUCCUAGUACGAGAGGACCGGAGUGGACGCAUCACUGGUGUUCGGGUUGUCAUGCCAAUGGCACUGCCCGGUAGCUAAAUGCGGAAGAGAUAAGUGCUGAAAGCAUCUAAGCACGAAACUUGCCCCGAGAUGAGUUCUCCCUGAGACUUAGAGUCUCCUGAAGGAACGUUGAAGACGACGACGUUGAUAGGCCGGGUGUGUAAGCGCAGCGAUGCGUUGAGCUAACCGGUACUAAUGAACCGUGAGGCUUAACCUUACAACGCCGAAG
rnacentral:rRNA from 1 species